rnacentral:rRNA from 1 species
GACGUAGGAGGCGAGCGUUAUCCGGAAUUAUUGGGCGUAAAGAGCUCGUAGGCGGUUUGUCGCGUCUGCCGUGAAAGUCCGGGGCUCAACUCCGGAUCUGCGGUGGGUACGGGCAGACUAGAGUGAUGUAGGGGAGACUGGAAUUCCUGGUGUAGCGGUGAAAUGCGCAGAUAUCAGGAGGAACACCGAUGGCGAAGGCAGGUCUCUGGGCAUUAACUGACGCUGAGGAGCGAAAGCGUGGGUAGCAAACAGG